rnacentral:piRNA from 1 species
UGCAUACGGGAAGGUGUGCUACUGUGGG